AACUGGCUCUACUGCAUGGGUCAUCCUCAUAGGUGCCAUGGUUCUCCUCGCCCUUCCUCUCAUCAUCCCUGCCUGCUCCAGUUCCUCAUAUGUGGAUACAGAUGGCCCUGACCCUGCAUCGCUACUAAACCAUGAUGACCCACAUCAGCCGCUCCUAAUCAGAAACAAUCAUCAAAUGGAGUCCAAUGCGAUGAUGCUAAAACCAAUGGAGCUCCAGAUGCAGGGCAAUUGUUGUGGAACAAUAGUGAGCAAGGGCUACCUGGUGGCACUCGGUGAAGAACAUAGUGCAAAGAAGCUCAUUUGGUGUGUGGACUUCUGGCUCUACUACACAGCCUACUUCUGUGGAGCCACUGUUGGCCUGGUAUACAGCAACAACUUGGGGCAGAUUGCGCAGUCAUUGCACCAGCAGUCACAGCUCACCAUGCUACUUAUUGCCUACUCAUCCUGCUCUUUCUUCGGUCGUCUUCUUUCUGCACUACCUGACAUCCUUCACAGGAAGGUGCCACUUGCUCGCACAGGGUGGCUUGCUGCUGCAUUGGUCCCCAUGCCAAUGGCCUUUUUCCUUAUGUGGAACCAACAAGAUGCAAGCACCCUGGUAGCAGGAACAACACUAGUUGGUCUAAGCUCAGGAUUCAUCUUUGCUGCAGCAAUGUCAGUGACCUCCGAGCUCUUUGGACCAAAUAGCAUUGGAGUGAAUCACAACAUCCUAAUUACCAAUAUCCCGCUGGGCUCACUCCUCUAUGGCCAGAUUGCUGCCAUGGUAUACGAUGGAAAUGGCCAAAAGAUGACAGUAGUGGAUAACUGGACUGGCAUUGUUGACACCAUGAUUAUGUGCAUGGGGGUGAAGUGCUACUCAACCACCUUCUUUGUGUGGGCUUGCAUCACAAUUCUAGGGUUAGCAUCAAGCAUAGUUCUAUUCAUACGAACAAAACCAGCUUAUUCUACUGCCGCUAGCUGGUCAAGUUGUAAGCACCAUCACCAAGUUUCCAGUUAAGUAGUUAACAGAGAAACUAGCUUGUACAAAAUUUUGGUUAGUUCUAGCUGAAAUGGGUUACAUACAAUACGUGAAAUGAAUACAUUACAGGAGACAUCAAGAGGAUAGGAAACUAUCAGCUUAGGAGGUGGUACGUUUGUACAGAACGAGUAUUAUUCCAUUUACUGGGCAUUAAUACUAACAAUUGGAGCCAGGUUGCAUAAAAUCCAUUGGGAAUUUUUGAUGCUCAUUGAAUCGAGCUAUGUGCAAACUCCUCCA